rnacentral:rRNA from 1 species
AAAGUGGCGAACGGCUGAGUAACACGUGGGCAACCUGCCCCUCGCUCCGGGAUAGCCUCGCGAAAGCGGGAUUAAUACCAGAUACUCCGCGACUUCCUCCUGGAAGAUGCGGGAAAGCCACGACGGCGAGGGAUGGGCCCGCGGCCUGUUAGCUAGUUGGUGGGGUAAUGGCCUACCAAGGCGACAAUGGGUAGCCGGGUUGAGAGACCGACCGGCCAGAUUGGGACUGAGACACGGCCCAG